UUCCACAAUGGGCGCAAGCCUGAUGGAGCAACACCGCGUGAGUGAAGAAGGGUUUCGGCUCGUAAAGCUCUGUUGUUAAAGAAGAACACGUAUGAGAGUAACUGUUCAUGCGUUGACGGUAUUUAACCAGAAAGUCACGGCUAACUACGUGCCAGCAGCCGCGGUAAUACGUAGGUGGCAAGCGUUAUCCGGAUUUAUUGGGCGUAAAGAGAGUGCAGGCGGUUUUCUAAGUCUGGUGUGAAAGCCUUCGGCUUAACCGGAGAAGUGCAUCGGAAACUGGAUAACUUGAGUGCAGAAGAGGGUAGUGGAACUCCAUGUGUAGCGGUGGAAUGCGUAGAUAUAUGGAAGAACACCAGUGGCGAAGGCGGCUACCUUGUCUGCAACUGACGCUGAGACUCGAAAGCAUGGGUAGCGAACAGGAUUAGAUACCCUGGUAGUCCAUGCCGUAAACGAUGAGUGCUAGGUGUUGGAGGGUUUCCGCCCUUCAGUGCCGGAGCUAACGCAUUAAGCACUCCGCCUGGGGAGUACGACCGCAAGGUUGAAACUCAAAGGAGUUGACGGGGGCCCGCACAAGCGGUGGAGCAUGUGGUUUAAUUCGAAGCUACGCGAAGAACCUUA
rnacentral:rRNA from 2 species